CUGGAUCCCCAUUUUAUUAUUAUUAUUAUCCCUCUUCGUCCCAGGUCGGACAUAAGGCCUCGACAAUCUCCCUCCAUUGGGACCUGUCUUGCGCUGCAUGUUGUGCCUCGCCCCAUGUAAGGCUAAUCUCCUUCAGCUCAGCAGUCACGGUUCGUCCCCAGGUUGUUUUUGGUCGACCUUGACUCCUUUUCCCUGUUGGGGUCCAUCUCAGUGCGACCUUUGGGAUACAAUCCUGGUCCAUCCUGAGUGCAUGUCCCAGCCUUCGUAAUCGGCGACGUUUGAUUUCCGACACAGCAGGAGUGCACUUGGUCUUCCUGUGCAGUUCUUUGCUGGAGAUCUUCUCAGGAUGAAGCCUUUCAAAAGCACCGUGGGCCUUGCCUAGCCUUGCUCUGAUGUCCUAUGAUGUUGAGUUGUCUUUGCUGACAAGACUUCCCAGGAUGGGGUCAUUGGCCCCACGCCCAACCCCCAACCUGUGGGACCAGGUGCCAAUUUUGUCCGGCCUCUACCUGGGAUACCUGUCCGACAUGGUUGAACCUGCUAGGGGCUAAGGCCCUUCAGUAUAGCUAUCCAGGUCAUAGAGACAAACAGCUUCUCCACCACGACAAGGUAAGCAGCACAAGGGGAAGUGGAUCCCCAUUGGCAGACACUUUUCACACUCCAAUCAACAAUCCAAGAGCAGCGUGUUUAAAUCUCCUGCCGUUCCUCAACUCGAACAGCUGCACACAUCUCCCCCCUUUUAUACCAAUCUCUCCCCCAGCAACACCUUGCAAGAUCUUCUUUUACACGCACAUCAACACGUUUGUCCGGGGGGACGGGAGAUUUAGAGAAAUAAUCUGUCUAUUGAUCGCUGCCCAA
ensembl:lncRNA